rnacentral:rRNA from 1 species
GGGCCGCAGAGAGCAGGGGGGAGCGACUGUUUACUAAAAACACAGGUCCGUGCGAAGCCGUAAGGCGAUGUAUACGGACUGACGCCUGCCCGGUGCUGGAAGGUUAAGAGGAUCCCUCAGCCCCCUGUGAUGGGGGUGAAGGGGUGAGUUCAAGCCCCAGUAAACGGCGGUGGUAACUAUAACCAUCCUAAGGUAGCGAAAUUCCUUGUCGGGUAAGUUCCGACCUGCACGAAUGGCGUAACGACUUCCCCGCUGUCUCCACCACGGGCUCGGCGAAAUUGCAGUACGAGUAAAGAUGCUCGUUACGCGCAGAAGGACGGAAAGACCCCGGGACCUUCACUACAGCUUGGUAUUGGCGUCCGCCAUGGUUUGUGCAGGAUAGGUGGGAGACGUUGAGGCCGUCGCGUCAGCGGCGGCGGAGUCGUUGUUGAGAUACCACUCUGGCUGUGGCGUGCGCCUGAACCUGGGCCCGUGAUCCGGGUCAGGGACAGUGCCUGGUGGGUAGUUUAACUGGGGCGGUUGCCUCCUAAAAGGUAACGGAGGCGCUCAAAGGUUCCCUCAGCCUGGUCGGCAACCAGGUGGCGAGUGCAAGUGCACAAGGGAGCUUGACUGCGAGACCGACGGGUCGAGCAGGUGCGAAAGCAGGAACUAGUGAUCCGGCGAUCCCGUGUGGAUGGGUCGUCGCUCAACGGAUAAAAGGUACCCCGGGGAUAACAGGCUGAUCCUGCCCAAGAGUCCAUAUCGACGGCAUGGUUUGGCACCUCGAUGUCGGCUCGUCGCAUCCUGGGGCUGGAGCAGGUCCCAAGGGUUGGGCUGUUCGCCCAUUAAAGCGGUACGCGAGCUGGGUUUAGAACGUCGUGAGACAGUUCGGUCCCUAUCCUCUGCGCGCGCAGGAGACUUGAGAAGACCUGUCCCCAGUACGAGAGGACCGGGACGGACGAACCUCUGGUGUGCCAGUUGUCCCGCCCGGGGCACGGCUGGUUGGCUACGUUCGGACAGGGUAACCGCUGAAAGCAUCUAAGCGGGAAACCACCUUCAAGACCAGGUCUCCGCAGCAGCACCCCGUGCUGCUGGAAGGCCCCCAGCAGACCACUGGGUCGAUAGGCCAGACGUGGAAGACCGGCAACGGUCGAAGCCGACUGGUACUAACAGGCCAACACAAACACACA